rnacentral:lncRNA from 1 species
CCCCGCCGUUCUCCGUCGCUCUCCCCCGCCGUUCUCCGUCGCUCUCCCCCGCCGUUCUCCGUCGAUCUCGCCGUCCCUUCAUUCCCAUCUCUCUCCCUCUCUCUCUCUCGAAAAUCUCAGCCGAAAGAUGUAAGUUUUAUGAGUUUCGUUUGUUUAGUUUAGGUUUUAGGGCAAAUGAUUUCUCGUUAUGAUGUUGAUAGCUUCUUGUCCUGCUUCGUCUGAAUGCUUGAUUAUCGGUUUUGAUUAUGGAAAAAAUUCCCGUCUAUGAUUUUG